GACAGAGGGUGCAAACGUUGCUCGGAAUCACUGGGCGUAAAGGGUGCGUAGGUGGUUGGGUAAGUCUGAUGUGAAAUCUCCGGGCUCAACCCGGAAAUGGCAUUGGAUACUAUUCGGCUAGAGGUUUGGAGGGGGGACUGGAAUUCUCGGUGUAGCAGUGAAAUGCGUAGAUAUCGAGAGGAACACCAGUGGCGAAGGCGAGUCCCUGGACAACACCUGACACUGAGGCACGAAAGCUAGGGGAGCAAACAGG
rnacentral:rRNA from 1 species